CUUUCAGAUGGGAAAAAUAAUAAUAAGCUGCCAGGCUCAGAGCUGGGCACAAGCCAGCAAAGCUCUGCAGCGCUCCUGAAGCACUCGACAGAGAAGAGACCAGGACCUGCUGUCAGUUUUCAGGACGAUAGGUUUCCUCCUUCUUCGAUGCAGUUCCGACCUUGAAUGUCAGGUGGUCUUUUGAUCAAUAACAAUGGCAGGAAUGAUGACAUGCAGUUUGGAGUCUAGGCCUACAAAAAUGAAGCAGUUCAGGACCCAGCAGGAUGCCUCGCUCCGUUGGAAGAACGAAGGCCCCCUAAGAAGGAUCCAACCUUCCCUGGUCUGCAGUCAUAAGCUCAGCCCACUACGCAGCCUCUGCUGACUGAAGAGACAGCAGGGAGCCCAGGACUGGGGAGCCUUCUUGACUUUAGGUUCUCCUUCUGCUACGAGGGCAGACAAAUAUAGAUGUCAUCCUGGAGAGAGUGGUCUGCAGACACAGAGAAAUGAGAAGCAGCUAAAAGAAAGCAGCCUCCUUUUGCCUCCCGAACUCCAUCUGCUUGUCAAGGACAUAAAGCUGUUUCACCAGCUGACAGGAGGAUGUUCGUCGCUCCUUUAGCUUGGAUGCUGAGUCUCAGUCCCUGGUGCCCAGCACCCCUGGGAUGCCAAGGAAGGAAUUGCUUCAUUGUGAACCAGUCAAGUAGAUAGACGGUGGAGACAUCUGCUCUGGAAGCACAUUUCUCACAGCGAACAACAUUUGCAUGCUCGUGCCUGCAGAUAUCGUCAAGGCCUUUGCGAAGUUAAACACUGCCUCUGCUUCUCUGGCUUCCCCCUUGGCCAGUACCUGGGUACUCCUUGGGUCAAGGAGUUCAGCUCAGGGAGUGUCCCUCUCCUCUUCUCUGCCCUCUGAGGGUAAGAUGUUCCCUUCAGAACCUCACAAACAAACCCAGGUUUUAAGCUGACUCUGAUCCAGUGGUCCCUGCAGUUUUCUGCUUCUCGUGAGCCUACACACAAGAUACAGUUCGCUGUAUAGAUAUAGUACUGUGCCCUUUGUGCAAGCCCCCCCCCUUCGUCUCGAUACUUCUGUAUUGUCUCCCUCAGAAGACAUACUUCUGGCCGAGUCAUCCGUGCCCAUGUGUUUAGAGGCACACAUGGCAAGGAACGCUAAGGCAUGUCUCUGUAGAAGGUUAGGAGCAUAAGGAGCUCACGUGCCUUCCUCUCCGGCAGACGUGGUUCUGGCAAAGAAGAGAGAUGAGUGGUAGAAAGGCUGUUCUGAGAAGGCACCACCCCAAAGCUGCAGAGCACCCACAGAGUAGGCUUCAAGAAGUUCACCCCCCAGAGACUCAGAGAAAUCCAGAAACUUUCAGCGGGACAAAUGGAGACCCCAGAUGUGCACCUUGAUGCCAAACUCAGCAGAGCAUUUGGAUCAAAGGAAUAAGGAAAGUUUCAUAGGACAUCCAAGCACACAUGUCGUGAAACCACAAGGAGGAUGCGGAUUCGCCAUAGGAGUUUUAUAUUUUGUCCUUGUUAACAUGUUAAAAGAAAAAUCUAGACAAUGUGGAUGAAAACUCACUGCUGAAUGUUAAAUAAAGUUA